AAUUCUAAGGCGCUUGAGAGAACUCUGGAGAAGGAACUCGGCAAAUUAGUACCGUAACUUCGGGAUAAGGUACGCCCUUGUAGGUUGUAGCAAUUUACUUGCGAAGGCCGAAAGGGUUGCAGUGAAAAGGUGGCUGCGACUGUUUAAUAAAAACAUAGCACUGUGCUAACACGAAAGUGGAUGUAUACGGUGUGACGCCUGCCCGGUGCCGGAAGGUUAAUUGAUGGGGUGCAAGCUCUUGAUAGAAGCCCCGGUAAACGGCGGCCGUAACUAUAACGGUCCUAAGGUAGCGAAAUUCCUUGUCGGGUAAGUUCCGACCCGCACGAAUGGCGUAACGAUGGCCACACUGUCUCCUCUAGAGACUCAGCGAAGUUGAAAUGGUUGUGAAGAUGCAAUCUACCCGCGGUUAGACGGAAAGACCCCAUGAACCUUUACUAUAGCUUUACAUUGGACUUGGACAUCAUCUGUGUAGGAUAGGUGGGAGACUUUGAAGCAGGAUCGCUAGAUCUUGUGGAGUCACCCUUGAAAUACCACCCUGAUGUUGUCUAGGUUCUAACCCAGGUCCCUUAUCGGGAUCGGGGACCGUGUAUGGUGGGUAGUUUGACUGGGGCGGUCUCCUCCCAAAGAGUAACGGAGGAGUGCGAAGGUAACCUAGGUACGGUCGGAAAUCGUACUGUUAGUGCAAUGGCAUAAGGUUGCUUGACUGCGAGACGGACAGGUCGAGCAGGUGCGAAAGCAGGUCAUAGUGAUCCGGUGGUUCUGUAUGGAAGGGCCAUCGCUCAACGGAUAAAAGGUACUCUGGGGAUAACAGGCUGAUUCCUCCCAAGAGUUCAUAUCGACGGGGGAGUUUGGCACCUCGAUGUCGGCUCAUCACAUCCUGGGGCUGUAGUCGGUCCCAAGGGUAUGGCUGUUCGCCAUUUAAAGUGGUACGUGAGCUGGGUUUAAAACGUCGUGAGACAGUUUGGUCCCUAUCUGCCGUGGGCGUUGGAAGUUUGAAGGGGGCUGUUCCUAGUACGAGAGGACCGGAAUGGACAGAUCUCUGGUGGAUCGGUUGUCACGCCAGUGGCAUAGCCGAGUAGCUAAAUCUGGAAGAGAUAAACGCUGAAAGCAUCUAAGCGUGAAACUUGCCCUAAGAUGAGACUUCCCUUGUACUUUAAGUACACUAAAGAGUCGUUCAAGACCAGGACGUUGAUAGGUCAGGUGUG
rnacentral:rRNA from 1 species